AGAGUUUGAUCCUGGCUCAGGACGAACGCUGGCGGCGUGCUUAACACAUGCAAGUCGAACGGAAAGGCCCUUCGGGGUACUCGAGUGGCGAACGGGUGAGUAACACGUGGGUGAUCUGCCCUGCACUUUGGGAUAAGCCUGGGAAACUGGGUCUAAUACCGAAUAUGACCAUGCGCCUCCUGGUGUGUGGUGGAAAGCUUUUGCGGUGUGGGAUGGGCCCGCGGCCUAUCAGCUUGUUGGUGGGGUAAUGGCCUACCAAGGCGACGACGGGUAGCCGGCCUGAGAGGGUGACCGGCCACACUGGGACUGAGAUACGGCCCAGACUCCUACGGGAGGCAGCAGUGGGGAAUAUUGCACAAUGGGCGCAAGCCUGAUGCAGCGACGCCGCGUGAGGGAUGACGGCCUUCGGGUUGUAAACCUCUUUCAGCACAGACGAAGCGCAAGUGACGGUAUGUGCAGAAGAAGGACCGGCCAACUACGUGCCAGCAGCCGCGGUAAUACGUAGGGUCCGAGCGUUGUCCGGAAUUACUGGGCGUAAAGAGCUCGUAGGUGGUUUGUCGCGUUGUUCGUGAAAACUCACAGCUUAACUGUGGGCGUGCGGGCGAUACGGGCAGACUUGAGUACUGCAGGGGAGACUGGAAUCCCUGGUGUAGCGGUGGAAUGCGCAGAUAUCAGGAGGAACACCGGUGGCGAAGGCGGGUCUCUGGGCAGUAACUGACGCUGAGGAGCGAAAGCGUGGGGAGCGAACAGGAUUAGAUACCCUGGUAGUCC
rnacentral:rRNA from 1 species